GGUGGUUCUCGGGUGACACACCCCAGAACCAGAGAGGAGGGAGCCCAAUUCUGGGGUGUGUCACCUGAGAACUGCC
rfam:Myotis brandtii contig250314, whole genome shotgun sequence.